AGGAAAAAGGAGAGGAAAGCCUUCAAUUUUUCAUCUUGAUUCUUGGUUGCUUUGGAGAGAAAUCAACCUAAAACCCUAAAUCAAUCCAUAGAAAGGUGCAACAAGGUGACAAGGAAGCUUGAGGUGGAGUGAUUUUGGAUUGGCAACCUUUGUUUUUUGCAUUUUCCUAUAAGGGUUUGAAGAUUUUGACUCUGGCCAGAGGGUUGGACCUGAGCUUGAUUUUGAUAAGCAGUGAAUCAUUGGGGGUGUGAGCAUGGGCAUGAGGCAGGGACUGACUGAUUUUGUCUAGACCUUUUUGACCAUUGUAUUUGUAACAGCAUUAGUGCUCAAUUAGGGUUAGGAGUUCAACUAGA